rnacentral:rRNA from 1 species
AAACCAACCGGGAUUGCCUUAGUAACGGCGAGUGAAGCGGCAAAAAGCUCAAAUUUGAAAUCUGGUACCUUCGGUGCCCGAGUUGUAAUUUGGAGAGGGCAACUUUGGGGCCGUUCCUUGUCUAUGUUCCUUGGAACAGGACGUCAUAGAGGGUGAGAAUCCCGUGUGGCGAGGAGUGCGGUUCUUUGUAAAGUGCCUUCGAAGAGUCGAGUUGUUUGGGAAUGCAGCUCUAAGUGGGUGGUAAAUUCCAUCUAAAGCUAAAUAUUGGCGAGAGACCGAUAGCGAACAAGUACAGUGAUGGAAAGAUGAAAAGAACUUUGAAAAGAGAGUGUAAAAGUACGUGAAAUUGUUGAAAGGGAAGGGCAUUUGAUCAGACAUGGUGUUUUGUGCCCUCUGCUCCUUGUGGGUAGGGGAAUCUCGCAUUUCACUGGGCCAGCAUCAGUUUUGGUGGCAGGAUAAAUCCAUAGGAAUGUAGCUUGUCUCGGUAAGUAUUAUAGCCUGUGGGAAUACUGCC